AAGGAAUUUGCAAGUUUAAACUUUGGAUUGUAUAACAAAGUGCAUAAAUCAUUAUUAAAAUGUACAAAUUUACUCUACUGAUGUUGAUGACCGUUAUCAUCGCAUUGACCGUUUUAAUUGAAGGAACACUUGCAUGUAAAAACGGUGAAAUGCUGGUCAUCAAAUGCUUAUCAACUUGUCUUUGCGUGAAUAAUAAUUGGCAAUGCAGAUCGACGCCGUGUCCCUGGCCUUGAGUUACAUGAAACUGUAAAAGGAUUUCUACUUAUCUGCUACGACGGCUGCAGAUAACAUUAUAUUUACUUUAGAUUUCCGUAGUUCCGUUACUUUAUUUUAGCAAAGUAAUCCCGGGGGGAUCAAUAUAUUGUCAAGAUUCAAAAAAGAUUCAUCGAGAAGAUGCAAUAAACACAAAAAUUUUUCUUCUUUCGAGAGA